CUAAUAAUCAGUUUUUAAUUGUUUCGUAUAUUGGAUAAUUAUCACAAUAGUACAUUGUGCAUUUACACAUUUAGAAGAAAAAAAUAUGUUUAUCAUUAAAAUAUUAUCAAAUUUAUUUUCGUCAUAGUAAAAAUCUAUUGUCUCCCAUUGGAGUAUAGAUAGUGCUGAUUUGAAGUAGUUUCAAAAAAAAAAUAAAUAAAUAUGCUUCAAGAUAAUACUUGAUCCGACUAAUAUAUUCUAAGAAUUUGAUAUGAAGAGAAAAAUACACGAUUGAAUACGAUAAAAAUUUCGUUCGAUACAUUCUUCUUUUGUUAUUCACUAGGGAAUUUAAAAAAUAAUUAUCUAAAUUUGACAUCGGCCACAUUCCCCGAACUAUAAAAAAAGGAUUUAAUGUACAAUAAGCACGUCUUGUAUAAUGCAUUUACAAUAUGUGCAUUCAAAAUUUGAACUCAUUCCAUAAUUACACUGUAUAUUUUAUUUAUUACUGCAUUUCAUGGUACCAAUUUUAUUUAUUCAUUCUCAUUUUACUUGUACUUUAAGUCAUAUGAUAUAUUAUUAUUAUUGUUUAUUUAUUAGAAAAGAUGAGAAAAGAAGGUUCGUGUGGGACCCAUGAGUUCGCAAUUUAUAAUAAGGAAAAUAAUACAUUCGAAUAAUAAUUUAAAUUAAACUUUCUUUUUACAAUUUUAGACUUAUAAAACUAACUUAAACAUUUACAAUACUUAAUGUAUGGAGACUUAAUGUAUAAUAUAGUUUUAUAAAAUACAAAUGCAAGCAACUAGAUUAAAAAUAUACAAAUAUUUAAAGUUUUAAAUUUGGUUAAUUUUGCAGCCAAUUAUUUGUUUUGUUUUUAAGUAUUAAACGAUAGAAUUGUUUUGAAAUGUUAUGGUAGC